UAACACAAACAAAGGAGGAAUAAAACAAGCAAGGGAGCCGUCUCAAAAAUAUAUCCAGUCCGCCUACUACUACUACUACUAAACAAAGCUCCAAUUAGAUUCUAAAACUUUGUUAAUGAAAACGUAGAAGGUUAAGUUGUAUCACCUUUAUCUAGCAGCAUGAGUGAAGUUCAUCAUUACACUCUUUUAAGUAAAAAUAAUAUGACAGCAGACCAGUGGCAGCUGUAUGAUAUGGUAAAAAUAGCAGGGAUCCGCUUGCAUCCUGACCUCUUCAAGAUAAUCAUGGAUCUUCUAGCUGCAAACAUCCCACCACAUGCUGUACUGGCAUUAUUGAAGGAACUCAAGGGGAAGGUGCCCUACCAAAGUGAUUGCCUGAAUGAUAAUCACGCAAGUGAUAGUAGUAGAUGAAAUAAAAUUAUUGUCAGUCGGUGAUAGGCUGUCUAAUGUCAAAUUGUUGUUUUGCUGCUAUUUCUUAGCUGCACAAGAAGUUAAUGGAAAUUCUUUUUGUUAUGAAUUAUUUGAUCAUAAAAAAUAAUUUGGCAUCUUAGGGUUUGAGACUUUAUCGAAGAUGUAUUUUAAGAAGCAGGUGGCUUUUCUACAGCUUAUGAAAAUCCACACUGAAGUAAACAUGCCCUUAAUAUUUAUUAGUUGGAUCAAGAUACCUCACAGGUACAGGAAUCUACGUACAAUACUGAAGUUUUAGUUUCAGACCUAGAGGAAACUCAUUUUAAAGAAUCUCAUUGUGCUUGGAAAGAAUUUUUGUGUACAGUACCUUUAAAACUUUUGUAUUUUUGAAACACUGUUUAAAAUCUUCAGCAGCAGUACCUAAUGCCAAUUGUCAUAUGUAGUUAUUUACUGGUACAGUAUUCUAAGCACUUGUCCUUGAAACAAUGUGUAGUUUUAUGAAGUGGUGUUUUGUAAAUUAGUUGAAAAAACUUGUAUGAAUAACUUGUUUCUUUACCUUUAGUGAUUCAAAGUGAUUAUACAGUUGUAAAUUAGUUGAAAAAUCUCUCAUAUGUA